GAAGCCCAAGGAAUGAUCAAAUUUAGCUCUUGUUAUUUGUUCUGACUGGUAUUUCGCUCACAUUUCAAAUAAAUAACUUAAGUUCAAGUUAUUUUUUCUCAAUUCCAGACCAGGGUGCCUGUUCAUCAAUAUAACGAAUCUUAAUGUAAUUCACCAACUGUUGUUCAGUGAUACUCUUCAAAAAGAUAUAACAAAAAAUAGCAACUGUUCAUUAUAAUGGGCAUGGAAGGAUUCUGGACGAUUUGUCAUACUAAUUUAUUGACGUUAUGAUAACUUCUCAAUAGAAUUACAGGUAGACGACUAUAGGUAAAAAGCGCAAAUGUCCGGUCAAAUUAAUACAGGUGAAUCAAACUUUAAAGCGCAAAUGUCCUAUUAUUUUACAAGUAAAAAAGCGCAAUCGUCCUGUGUCUGAUUACUUGGCCAUUUGUAUAGUGAUUAUUUGAAUAUCAGACCAAAUAGUUCAUGAUUAUAUUAUUUUUUGAUCAUCUAGG
rnacentral:lncRNA from 1 species